UACGGAGGGGGGCUAGCGUUGUUCGGAAUUACUGGGCGUAAAGCGCACGUAGGCGGCUUUGUAAGUUAGAGGUGAAAGCCCGGGGCUCAACUCCGGAAUUGCCUUUAAGACUGCAUCGCUAGAAUUGUGGAGAGGUAAGUGGAAUUCCGAGUGUAGAGGUGAAAUUCGUAGAUAUUCGGAAGAACACCAGUGGCGAAGGCGACUUACUGGACACAUAUUGACGCUGAGGUGCGAAAGCGUGGGGAGCGAACAGG
rnacentral:rRNA from 1 species